CGCUCACACACAAGAUGGAGACGGCCGGCUGGGAAGGAAAAGCGUUCACUUGUCCUUCCCUCUAGGAGCUUCCACAAGGCUGGAUAUCGGGUGGAUACUCCUCCAAAAUACCAGCAGCAAUGGAUUACGAGGCAAAGAGCAGCGCAGCGAGUACAAUGAUGGAGAGCACGAGAGGGGCGGAGUCAGUGACAAGUUGCUAUGACAACAGAUGAUGGAGGAGUUACAAGGUGACACUGUGGAGUUUGCGUACAACCCAUUGGACGUCUUACACUGCAGAUAAAGGAACUCAAUUAAAAAAUAGUGGCUUUGCUGCAUGUCGUCUUUGUGGUCAGAGCCAGUAAUGGACGCAAGCUAGCUCUGAAGAGACUGGCCGUGAACAAUGAUGCUGACCUCUACCUCACCAAACAAGACACCAAGGCUCUGUCUGAUUGCUCGUAUUCUGUGACAUACAUUUCAUCCAUUACUAAGCAGAUAUCCAGUGAUGUGCACGAGGUCCUCAUACUAAUGGAGUUAUAUACAUGCACCAGUGAAAUCUCUCUCAGUCCUCGAUCACCAAGAAUGCUGGUUUGCAGAAGAAGUCAGCGAAGGAGAUGAUGUGUUCCUCCUUGCCCUGUCCUUUGCCUCUGAUCGAGAGUUGAGGGACAAGAGCCUUUCCUUCGAGUGGAGCAAGAGAAGACCCAGAGUUAGAGGGACUGAAAAUGAAUUGGAAUUCAAGUCCUCGUCAAAGGAUCACUUCAAAGGCUUUACCUCCAGCUCUGAAACUGAGACUCUGACGUCAAUGGCCUGAAAUAUUCUCAGAUCCAGUUAAUUCCAGAAGCUCAGUUCCUUUGAAGUUUGAAGGGAUCGGGUGCCGGAUAUGCCACCUGACCCGUUUGAAGAAGAAGCUCAGUGUCUUGCUAGAAGAGCCUUCCGCUGUGUUAUAAAAACAUCGCGAGCUUUCCACUGUGUUGCAGAAACAGCGCGAGAUAAUCUCAAGUUGAUCAGUCAAAGAUCUACAAGAUGAUGCCCGAAUCGCUUACUAUCUCGAAAAUUUGGCUGUGAUCUGCUUCUGUCAAGUGGUGUGGCUUAUAUACAAAUGUGAUCUCGUGUGUGACUGUGAACGAAGAAACACUUGCAGUGGCCCAGCUCUACCAAGCUUCCUAAGCUAGUAUUGCUGGAUCACAGAUGCGUGUGAUUCUCAGGUGGUGGAGCAGUCAACCAAACGUACGUGUCACAAGGUGAGUGAUAGGCUGUGUAUUAUUAAUCUACCGAGCGAUGCAGUACGUAUAUAUGUACGCGUAGCUUUGUUGCUUUAAAUAAUUAUAAUGAUUAGUGUGUAUCAUUAGCGUACAUCAUGUGACUAUAAUGAAGCCGUACUAAUAAAUAAUAAUUAUCAUAAACAGUAAAUAAGAUAAUAAUUAUAAUAUUUACAAGUUCUUAUGCCACAAAUAGAAACAGUCUGAUGUUGGGUUUCCACCAUGGCAGAGCCAGACACCACACUCGUUACAUCUGUCAGUCCUCUUGUUGGAGUCCUUCCAGCAGAACGCACACCAUCCCCGUUUACAUCUCUUUGCAGGUGGUUGCAGGCACAUUUUGAGAGGAAAGUGUUGGAGCUGAAGAGGGCGCUGGACUCUACUUGAGCGGCCUGGGAGUCUCCUUGAAUAGUACGUGCCAAUCAGCUCCUUGGCCAGUUGGAGGCGGACGUCUUUUACGUUUCGAUUCGGCUUGGAGGUAUAAUUAGUGUGUAAAAUAUGAUAGAAACAUCAAAUAGGAAAUAAAAUAUAUACUUGUAGAACUUCCGACUUCUUGUUCGACAGGAAUAAUAUCCGCGUAUUUGGUCCCCUCUGUCCACACCUUCCAUGUGCUUGUUGUAGAUUAUUAUGCUAUCAGGGCAACUCACAGGCAUUCUUAAACCGUCUCUCUGACGCCUGAGAACGGAUCCCGUUGCUACUGGUUGCGACAUCGUUGAGAGGACCGUGAGUACCUUGCUGUCGUGCCAUGCACACGCCACCAGUGGUCCCUUCUGGAAUAUCUUGGAUUCUCCUCUGUCAAAGUACCUCUUCUUCAAACCAUGUUUCUUCAGUCCUGGUGGUAAACCUUUCCUAUCCCUCCGAACUACACCAUACCCAUAAAUACCAUCCUUCUCCAUAUCUUCAAGAAGUUUGGGGCUCGUAAAAAGUUGUCAAAGAAAACGUGGUGGUUUUUCUUCUUCAGCCCGUCGGGUUGUACAAAGCUUCGAACCUCUCACCCAGGCGCUCAAUGAGGGGGCGGAUCUUCCCUAACCGAUCGUACGAGGGAUCAUCUCGUGAAACAAGAUGAGGAUGGAGAAUCCGAAGAAGGCCCGGAGCUCUUCAACUACCAUUGUUAAAAAAUAGCAGAAACACUUCUUCUGGCCUCUCUGAGAUGUCCACUGUUGGUCCUACUGCUGACUCAAAUGACUUGAUAGUCAGGGUGUGCAAUUCACUCCUCCAGGUAGGUUGCUCAUUGCCUAAAUAAAUGUGAGGGUAAUAAUAAUUACCUGUACAUUAGUUUUGUGUGGUAGUCUAACUGAUUGUAAUUGUACUUCAUAACAUUGCACAAACCGUGUGACGAGUUGCUUGGACCACUUGUGUCGUCACUUGUGUCGUCUAGGAAAGGAUUUAUCAAUAGCUGGUACAAAUUGUUAACCUUAUAAUUAUUAAUAAAUUAUUGUUAAAAAUAAUUAACAAUAAUAGGGAAAUUCCCAGGGAAUUUCCCCUCACGUAGACAGUAAAUUUCAAAAUGAGCAUUCGGUGAGUUUCUUCAACGUCCACGCUUGACCUGUUUAAAGCUUCGUAGAGACCCCAAUUUUUACAGGUAGGUAGAGGAAGGGUUGAAGUUAGCACCUGUGAAAAAAAAAUUUUUGCCCAUGUUUUUUGUUUCUACUAAAUUGGCCUAUAGCUUAAUUUAAUUAUUGCCGCGUUAAGGUCCCUUUUCAUUGGCCCUGUCACAAUUUAA